rnacentral:lncRNA from 1 species
CACAAGGGAGGCCUGUGCGUUUGGGGUUGUGAUAAAGCACGGGAAGGCCUACGCCAUCUCCAGAGGACAAUGACUCACUCAACACCAGAAACAUGCUCAGAUCGGCUCCUGCCAGCCAGAUCUUUGUGUGCCUGUGGCAAAGCAAGCCCGGCUAAACUGUGUCUGGAUUUGACAGACAGGCUUUAUCCUCACAAAAGAUGCUUUUUUGAUAUCUCUGUCUUAGAGUCACUCCGACCAAAACAAGCAAAGAAGCCAAAGCCACUCCUGAUGCUUCUAAAGAGCAGUCACAGAAAGAGACCCCACCAGCACCAUCUACUAAUGAAGCACCCAAGGCACCCCCUCCUCCUCCCCCAGCGCCACCUAAGAUGGAAAGCAAAGCAGAGCCGGCGGUGA